rnacentral:rRNA from 1 species
GAUGAACGCUGACAGAAUGCUUAACACAUGCAAGUCUUUGGCGAAUCUGUGCUUGCACAGGCUAGCCAAGGCGGACGGGUGAGUAACGCGUAAAGAACUUGCCCUGCAGACAGGGAUAACAGACGGAAACGACUGAUAACACCUGAUACAGUUGCCGGCACGCAUGUGCCUGGCAAUGAAAAGGGAUGCUGCAGGAGAGCUUUGCGUCCUAUUAGCUUGUUGGUGAGGUGACGGCUCACCAAGGCGAUGAUAGGUAGCCGGCCUGAGAGGGUGAACGGCCACAAGGGGACUGAGAUACGGCACUUACUCCUACGGGAGGCAGCAGUGGGGAAUAUUGGACAAUGGGGGCAACCCUGAUCAAGCAAUUCUGUGUGCAAGAAGAAGGUUUUCGGAUUGUAAAGUGCUUUCAGAAGGGAAGAAGAAAGUGACGGUACCUGCAGAAGAAGCGACGGCUAAAUACGUG